rnacentral:tRNA from 1 species
GAGGGUAUAGCUCAGUGGUAGAGUGCCUGCUUAGCAUGCAUGAGGUCCUGGGUUCAAUCCCCAAUACCUCCA